GGUGUUGCAGUGGACUGCAUGUUAAAAGCAGGCUGGACUGCUCUGAUGUAUGCAGCAAGUUGUGGUCAAGCUGAGAUGGUUAAAUAUCUGCUAGAUCAGGGAGCUAAUCCAGAUUUCCACAAGGCAUCUUUCAUGUAUAGUCCUCUGAUGGCUGUGUGCUCCAGUAACCUACCUGAGAGGUCUAUUUUAGAA